CCUACGGGCGGCAGCAGUGGGGAAUAUUGGACAAUGGGGGGAACCCUGAUCCAGCCAUGCCGCGUGUGUGAAGAAGGCCCUCGGGUUGUAAAGCACUUUCAGUGAGGAAGAACGCCUGGUGGUUAAUACCCAUCAGGAAAGACAUCACUCACAGAAGAAGCACCGGCUAACUCCGUGCCAGCAGCCGCGGUAAUACGGAGGGUGCGAGCGUUAAUCGGAAUUACUGGGCGUAAAGCGCGCGUAGGUGGCUUGAUAAGCCGGUUGUGAAAGCCCCGGGCUCAACCUGGGAACGGCAUCCGGAACUGUCAAGCUAGAGUGCAGGAGAGGAAGGUAGAAUUCCCGGUGAAGCGGUGAAAUGCGUAGAGAUCGGGAGGAAUACCAGUGGCGAAGGCGGCCUUCUGGACUGACACUGACACUGAGGUGCGAAAGCGUGGGUAGCAAACAGGAUUAGAUACCCCAGUAGUC
rnacentral:rRNA from 1 species